GGGCGCGUAGCUCAACGGCAGAGCGUCUGUUUUACACACAGAAGGUUUCAGGUUCGAAUCCUGACGCGCCCA
rnacentral:tRNA from 1 species